rnacentral:misc_RNA from 13 species
GAUCAUCUUCAGGUACUUGUGUUGUCUGCAUUUCAGCAAAAAAAAAGAGAACUUUUUUUGCUGAAAUGCAGACAACACAAGGCCCUGAAGAUGAUCU